CCUACGGGCGGCAGCAGUGAGGAAUAUUGGUCAAUGGACGAGAGUCUGAACCAGCCAAGUAGCGUGAAGGAUGACUGCCCUAUGGGUUGUAAACUUCUUUUAUAUGGGAAUAAAAUGUUCCACGUGUGGGAUUUUGUAUGUACCAUAUGAAUAAGGAUCGGCUAACUCCGUGCCAGCAGCCGCGGUAAUACGGGGGAUCCGAGCUUUAUCCGGAUUUAUUGGGUUUAAGGGGAGCGUAGGUGGAUUGUUAAGUCAGUUGUGAAAGUUUGCGGCUCAACCGUAAAAUUGUAGUUGAAACUGGCAGUCUGGAGUACAGUAGAGGUGGGCGGAAUUCGUGGUGUAGCGGUGAAAUGCUUAGAUAUCACGAAGAACUCCGAUUGCGAAGGCAGCUCACUGGACUGCAACUGACACUGAGGCUCGAAAGUGUGGGUAUCAAACAGGAUUAGAUACCCUGGUAGUC
rnacentral:rRNA from 1 species